UGGGGAAUAUUGCACAAUGGGCGGAAGCCUGAUGCAGCAACGCCGCGUGCGGGAUGACGGCCUUCGGGUUGUAAACCGCCUUCGCCUGUGACGAAGCGUGAGUGACGGUAAUGGGUAAAGAAGCACCGGCUAACUACGUGCCAGCAGCCGCGGUGAUACGUAGGGUGCGAGCGUUGUCCGGAUUUAUUGGGCGUAAAGGGCUCGUAGGUGGUUGAUCGCGUCGGAAGUGUAAAUCUUGGGGGCUUAACCCUGAGCGUGCUUUCGAUACGGGUUGACUUGGAGGAAGGUAGGGGAGAAUGGAAUUCCUAGUGGAGCGGUGGAAUGCGCAGAUAUCAGGAGGAACACCAGUGGCGAAGGCGGUUCUCUGGGCCUUUCCUGACGCUGAGGAGCGAAAGCGUGGGGAGCGAACAGGCUUAGAUACCCUGGUAGUCCACGCUGUAAACGGUGGGUACUAGGUGUGGGGGUCCAUUCCACGGGUUCCGUGCCGUAGCUAACGCUUUAAGUACCCCGCCUGGGGAGUACGGCCGCAAGGCUAAAACUCAAAU
rnacentral:rRNA from 1 species